rnacentral:siRNA from 1 species
AGCCAGAUGCUUUCGGAAAUUAGG